rnacentral:tRNA from 1 species
GCCCGGGUGGCGGAAUUGGUAGACGCAAGGGACUUAAAAUCCCUCGAGGGUAACCUCGUGCCGGUUCGACUCCGGCCCUGGGCA